rnacentral:rRNA from 1 species
CCUACGGGAGGCAGCAGUAGGGAAUCUUCCGCAAUGGGCGAAAGCCUGACGGAGCAACGCCGCGUGAGUGAUGAAGGGUUUCGGCUCGUAAAACUCUGUUAUUAGGGAAGAACAAAUGCGUAAGUAACUGUGCACAUCUUGACGGUACCUAAUCAGAAAGCCACGGCUAACUACGUGCCAGCAGCCGCGGUAAU